rnacentral:rRNA from 1 species
UACGUAGGCAGCAAGCGUUGUUCGGAGUUACUGGGCGUAAAGGGUGCGUAGGCGGCUUUUUAAGUUUGGUGUGAAAUCUCCCGGCUCAACUGGGAGGGUGCGCCGAAUACUGAGAGGCUAGAGUGCGGGAGAGGAAAGUGGAAUUCCUGGUGUAGCGGUGAAAUGCGUAGAUAUCAGGAGGAACACCGGUGGUGUAAACGGCUUUCUGGACCGUAACUGACGUUGAGGCACGAAAGCGUGGGUAGCAAACAGG